rnacentral:rRNA from 1 species
GACGAACGCUGGCGGCAUGCCUAAUACAUGCAAGUCGAACGCUGAAGCACUCUGCUUGCAGAGUGCGGAUGAGUGGCGAACGGGUGAGUAACACGUGGGAAAUCUGCCUAUAAGAGGGGGAUAACAUUCGGAAACGGAUGCUAAUACCGCAUAUAUUCUUGGACCGCCUGGUCCUAGAAAGAAAGACGGCUUUGCUGUCGCUUAUAGAUGAUCCCGCGGCGUAUUAGUUAGUUGGUGGGGUAAAGGCCUACCAAGACAAUGAUACGUAGCCGACCUGAGAGGGUGAUCGGCCACACUGGGACUGAGACACGGCCCAGACUCCUACGGGAGGCAGCAGUAGGGAAUCUUCCACAAUGGGCGAAAGCCUGAUGGAGCAAUGCCGCGUGAAUGAAGAAGGUCUUCGGAUCGUAAAGUUCUGUUAUUAGAGAAGAACAAGUCAAGGAGUAACUGUCUUGACUUUGACGGUACCUAACCAGAAAGUCACGGCUAACUACGUG